CGCGUAGGUGGUAGUGCAAGUCUGGGGUGGAAUCCCAGGGCUUAACCCUGGAACUGCCUUGGAAACUGUAUUACUUGAGUCAGUGAGGGGAGGGUAGAAUUCCUGGUGUAGCGGUGAAAUGCGUAGAUAUCAGGAGGAAGGCCUGUGGCGAAGGCGGCCCUCUGGCGCUGAACUGACACUGAGGCGCGAAAGCGUGGGGAGCAAACAGGAUUAGAUACCCUGGUAGUCCACGCCCUAAACGGUGGGUACUAGGUGUAGGGCUCGUAAGGGUUCUGUGCCGAAGCGAAAGCAUUAAGUACCCCGCCUGGGGAGUACGGCCGCAAGGUUGAA
rnacentral:rRNA from 1 species